CUUAGCAGUCCGCCCCUUCGGGGAGCGGGUUGCUGGCCUCCUAUGUUCCUAACGGUCCUCAUCCGCGAGGGUGGGGAAUCAACCGCUAGGAUCGUUUACUUUGAGGAAAUUAGAGUGUUCAAAGCAGGCGUAACUCGCCUCCGAAUACGUUAGCAUGGGAUAAUGGAAUACGACUUCGGUCUUGUUUCGUUGGUUUCGCUUGGCUGAAGUAAUGAUUGAUAGGGACAGUUGGGGGCAUUAGUAUUUAGUUGUCAGAGGUGAAAUUCUAGGAUUUACUAAAGACUGACCAAUGCGAAAGCAUUUGCCAAGGAUGUUUUCAUUAAUCAAGAACGAAAGUAGGGGGAUCGAAGACGAUCAGAUACCGUCGUAGUCUCUACCGUAAACUAUGCCGACCAGGGAUCCGGAGAGUUUGCAUGGAUGACUCCCCGGGCACCUUGUGAGAAAUCAUAAGUGUUUGGGUUUUGGGGGGAGUAUGGUCGCAAGGCUGAAACUUAAAGGAAUUGACGGAAGGGCACCACCAGGAGUGGAACCUGCGGCUUAAUUUGACUCAACACGGGGAAACUUACGAGGUCAGGACACUGUGAGGAUUGACAGA
rnacentral:rRNA from 1 species